AGUAGGAAUUCUCAGGUGUAGCGGCUGACAUGCGUAGAGAUCUGGAGGAAUACCCGGUGGCGAAGGCGGCUCCCCUGGACAUAGACUCACGCUUCAGGUGCGAAAGCGUGGGGAGCAAAUCAGGAUUAGAUACCUCUGGUAGUCCACGUUGUACACGAUGUCGACUUGGAGGUUGUUCCCCUGAGGAGUGGUUUCCCGAGCUAACGCGUUACGUCGACCACCUGGGGAGUACGGCCGCAAGGUUAAAACUCAAAUGAAUUGACGCGGGUCCGCACAACCCGUGCAGCAUUUGAUGUAAUUUGAUUCAACGCGAAGAGCCGAACCUUCUCUAGUCAUGCCAUGCAGAGAACUUAGCAGAGAUGCUUUGGUGCGUUCGGGAACUCCGAGACAGGUGCUGCAUGGCUGUCGUCAGCUCGUGUUGUGAAAUGUUGGGUUAAGUCCCGCAACGAGCGCAACCCUUAUCCUUUGUUGCCAGCGGUUAGGUCGGGAACUCAAAGGAGACUGCCAGUGAUAAACUGGAGGAAGGUGGGGAUGACGUCAAGUCAUCAUGGCCCUUACGAGUAGGGCUACACACGUGCUACAAUGGCAUAUACAAAGAGAAGCGACCUCGCGAGAGCAAGCGGACCUCAUAAAGUAUGUCGUAGUCCGGAUUGGAGUCUGCAACUCGACUCCAUGAAGUCGGAAUCGCUAGUAAUCGUGGAUCAGAAUGCCACGGUGAAUACGUUCCCGGGCCUUGUACACACCGCCCGUCACACCAUGGGAGUGGGUUGCUAAGAAGUAAGAU
rnacentral:rRNA from 1 species